rnacentral:lncRNA from 13 species
AUGGCUGGAGGGGCCGGGAGAGCCGGAGGGGGCAGAGAUCCGGGCGCUGCCGGAGCAGGGGGCACGCAGGGGAAAGGCACGGCCGGGGCUCGCCUUCCUUUUCCCAAACCUCCCACCCUGCCCGGAGCUCCCGGAGCCGCUGCCACCGGAGCCGAGCCUCCGGCCUCGAGCUGGCUGGAGUCCCCUGGAUCCCAGGGAUUGAGUCAUGGAACGGUUCAGACAAUGGCCUGGCCCCCUCGGAACCGGCCGGAGGGGGCAAAGCCGGGAGGACAAACCCGGCCUCGCUUCCGGCACGGAAGCGGAGUCAUUGUUCGGGAAUGGGCACGGGCUGAGCUCCUCACCAAUUCCCGUGUCCCUGCAGCCAUUCCCGUGUCCCUGCAGCCAUUCCCGUGUCCCCCCAGCCAUUCCCGUGUCCCGCAGCCAUUCCCGUGUCCUUCCAGCCAUUCCCGUGAUCCUGCCUCGCGCCCCACCCUUCAAAAUCCGGGGAUGAUGCAGAGGAAGGCGCUGCCACUGCCCACGAGGUCGCUGCCACCCACACCCCUAAGUGCCAUCAGCUGGCAUGGUGGCACUGGCCAGCUCCAGGGCUCCAAUUCCAGCUGCCAGGACUCCAAUUCCAGCUGCCAGGACCCCAAUUCCAGCUGCCAGGACCCCAGUUCCAUCUUCCAGCACCCCAUUUCCAGCCGGACUCCUGGCUCACCCCACCCCUGCCCACCCUGGGGGUCCCCACCGCGAGUGCCACCCCUGCCACGGGGACAUCCAGCUCCAAGCACGGAUCACAGCGGGAGCAGGAGCAAAGCGGCACCUCUGGGACUCAAAUCCCGACCUGCUUUGUAUCCCGGCGGUUUGGAUUGUCCCCCCUGUCCCUGUCCCGAGGGACCAGCCCAGCCACACACGCGGCACCGAGGCAAAGCCACCGCGCUGGGGUGGGAGGGGGGGCACAGCCAGCCUGGCACUGUCCCCAGAGCGUCCCAGCCGUCCCCACGCCGCGGGGCUGGGGCGGCAGCCGGGGCAGGGGCUGAUGCUGAGCUGGAGAGACGCGUGGGGAGGGACAGAGGGACAGCGGGAGGGACAGAGGGGACGGCCGGACCACACAGCGGGCCCGGGGGGGCCGCGGCCGGAGGGCAGCGAGGGCCGAGCUGCGCCCCGACCUCCUCCGGGGCCCGAGCGGCUUCAAAGGCGACGCUGCGGCUCUCCCAGGGGCUGUCACCCUCCGCCAGCCCGGCUCCAGCGGGGACCCGGUGCCACCCGCGGCCCAGCGGGCCGGGCCCCUGCAGCUCAGCCCCACAGAGGGGCUUUUCUUGUCCCCCCGCCUUUGUUUUCUAUUUAGUGCUUUUGUUCCCCCCCUCUUUGGUGCUUUGUUCCAGCUCGUCCUUUGUUCCGACGCCUUUGGUUUCUCUUCCCUUUGAUGCUUUGUCACUCCCUUCAUCUUGGUGCCUUUCUUUCCCCGUUUUUUGGGGGUUUUUUGUGGUUUGGUUUUUUUUUAAGCUGGCCCUUGGGGUUUUUUGGUUUGUUUUUUUUUUACCUCCCCGGCCGCUCUGCUCUUGGCAUUUUUCUCCUUUCUCCUGCCUCGUCCACUCCUCGGGUCACAUGGACGAGGCCCGGAUUGUCUCCAAAUCCCCAUUUGUCUUGUUUUGGUGCCUGCGUUUCCCUGCCUUUAUGUCCUUUCUUAAGAGACUCUCAGCGAUUUCUUCUCCCGGCUGCUGA